rnacentral:rRNA from 1 species
UACAGAGGGGGCAAGCGUUGUUCGGAAUUAUUGGGCGUAAAGGGCUCGUAGGCGGUUCGUCACGUCGGGAGUGAAAACUCGGGGCUUAACCCCGAGCCUGCUUCUGAUACGGGCAGACUAGAGGUAUGCAGGGGAGAACGGAAUUCCUGGUGUAGCGGUGAAAUGCGCAGAUAUCAGGAGGAACACCGGUGGCGAAGGCGGUUCUCUGGGCAUUACCUGACGCUGAGGAGCGAAAGUGUGGGGAGCGAACAGG